rnacentral:rRNA from 1 species
AACAGGAUUAGAUACCCUGGUAGUCACGCCCUAAACGAUGUCAACUAGCUGUUGGGGCCUUUCGGGCCUUGGUAGCGCAGCUAACGCGUGAAGUUGACCGCCUGGGGAGUACGGUCGCAAGAUUAAAACUCAAAGGAAUUGACGGGGACCCGCACAAGCGGUGGAUGAUGUGGAUUAAUUCGAUGCAACGCGAAAAACCUUACCUACCCUUGACAUGUCUGGAAUGCCGAAGAGAUUUGGUAGUGCUCGCAAGAGAACCGGAACACAGGUGCUGCAUGGCUGUCGUCGGCUCGUGUCGUGAGAUGUUGGGUUAAGUCCCGCAACGAGCGCAACCCUUGUCAUUAGUUGCUACGAAAGGGCACUCAAAUGAGACUGCCGGUGACAAACCGGAGGAAGGUGGGGAUGACGUCAAGUCCUCAUGGCCCUUAUGGGUAGGGCUUCACACGUCAUACAAUGGUCGGGACAGAGGGUCGCCAACCCGCGAGGGGGAGCCAAUCCCAGAAACCCGAUCGUAGUCCGGAUCGCAGUCUGCAACUCGACUGCGUGAAGUCGGAAUCGCUAGUAAUCGCGGAUCAGCAUGUCGCGGUGAAUACGUUCCCGGGUCUUGUACACACCGCCCGUCACACCAUGGGAGUGGGUUUUACCAGAAGUAGUUAGCCUAACCGCAAGGGGGGCGAUUACCACGGUAGGAUUCAUGACUGGGGUGAAGUCGUAACAAGGUAACC